rnacentral:rRNA from 1 species
AUUAGCUUGUGGGGUGGGGUAACGCCUUACCAGGGCGACGAUGGAUAGCUGGUCUGAGAGGAUGAUCACCCACACUGGAACUGAAACACGGUCCAGACUCCCACGGGAGGCAGCAGUUGGGAAUAUUGGACAAUGGGGGAAACCUUGAUCCAGCAAUGCCGCGUGAGCGAUGAAGGCUUUCGGGUCGUAAAGCUCUUUCAGCGGGAACGAAGGGAAACUUGACGGUACCCGCAGAAGAAGCACCGGCUAACUCCGUGCCAGCAGCCGCGGUAAUACGGAGGGUGCAAGCGUUGUUCGGAAUUAUUGGGCGUAAAGCGCGUGUAGGCGGCUUCCUAAGUCUGGUGUGAAAGCCCGGGGCUUAACCCCGGAAGUGCACUGGAUACUGGGUUGCUAGAGGACGGAAGAGGGAAGCGGAAUUCCUGGUGUAGGGGUGAAAUCCGUAGAUAUCAGGAGGAACAUCGGUGGCGAAGGCGGCUUCCUGGUCCGUAUCUGACGCUGAGACGCGAAAGCGUGGGGAGCAAACAGGAUUAGAUACCCUGGUAGUCCACGCCCU